rnacentral:tRNA from 1 species
GUAAAUAUAGUUUAACGAAAACAUUAGAUUGUAAUCUGAUAAUAAAAGCUUAAGCCUUUUUAUUUACC